rnacentral:rRNA from 1 species
AACGAACGCUGGCGGCAGGCUUAACACAUGCAAGUCGAGCGCCCCGCAAGGGGAGCGGCAGACGGGUGAGUAACGCGUGGGAAUCUACCGUGCCCUACGGAAUAGCUCCGGGAAACUGGAAUUAAUACCGUAUACGCCCUACGGGGGAAAGAUUUAUCGGGGUAUGAUGAGCCCGCGUUGGAUUAGCUAGUUGGUGGGGUAAAGGCCUACCAAGGCGACGAUCCAUAGCUGGUCUGAGAGGAUGAUCAGCCACAUUGGGACUGAGACACGGCCCAAACUCCUACGGGAGGCAGCAGUGGGGAAUAUUGGACAAUGGGCGCAAGCCUGAUCCAGCCAUGCCGCGUGAGUGAUGGAGGUCUUGGGAUUGUAAAGCUCUUUCACCGGUGAAGAUAAUGACGGUAACCGGAGAAGAAGCCCCGGCUAACUUCGUGCCAGCAGCCGCCGUAA